UAUAAAACGAAUGAGAAUCGAACCCACAAUGUUCCGCUUACCGGGUAGAUGCCAUGUCCACUAGGCUAUUUUUUAU